rnacentral:rRNA from 2 species
GGACUACCGGGGUAUCUAAUCCCUUUUGCUCCCCACGCUUUCGUGCCUGAGCGUCAGCAAUUGUCCAGGUAGCCGCCUUCGCCUCUGGUAUUCCUCAUGAUAUCUACGCAUUUCACUGCUACACCAUGAAUUCUGCUACCCUCUCCAAUGCUCUAGCCAUGUAGUUUGAGGUGCAAUUCUGGAGUUAAGCUCCAGGCUUUCACGCCUCACACACUUGGCCGCCUGCGCACCCUUUACGCCCAGUGAAUCCGAAUAACGCUUGCAGUCUCUGUAUUACCGCGGCUGCUGGCAC